rnacentral:rRNA from 1 species
CACCGCGGUUAUACGAGUGAGCUCAAGAUGAUGUAUAACGGCGUAAAGCGUGAUUAAAGACAAAAAUAAUACUAAGGCUAAACACCCCCUAAGCUGUUAUACGUUAAUGGGGAUAGGAAAACCCACAACGAAAGUAGCUUUAAUAUUUCUUGAACUCACGACCGUUGGGGCA